GGACAGAUGGCCGAGCUGGUAAGCUUUCAGUACCAUCAAUAUCAACAAAUUCGUACUAACUGUUUAAGGUUAUGGCGCCAGGUUAAGGUUAUUCUUAGCAACAUCUCCUGGUCACGAAAGUGGCGUGGGUUCGAGUCCCACUCUGUUCA